AAACUAAUAUCAGUUUGUGUUACUACAUGU
rnacentral:piRNA from 1 species